GUGCUCACUUUGGCAGCAUAAAUACUAUAAUUGGAACGACACUGAGUAGAUUAGCAUGGGCCCUGCGCAAGGAUGACACUUAAAUUCGUGAAGUGUUCCAUAUUUCU
ensembl:snRNA U6 U6 spliceosomal RNA